rnacentral:rRNA from 1 species
UACGUAGGGUGCGAGCGUUAAUCGGAAUUACUGGGCGUAAAGCGUGCGCAGGCGGUUUGUUAGACAGAUGUGAAAUCCCCGGGCUUAACCUGGGAACUGCAUUUGUGACUGGCGAGCUAGAGUAUGGCAGAGGGGGGUAGAAUUCCGCGUGUAGCAGUGAAAUGCGUAGAGAUGUGGAGGAAUACCGAUGGCGAAGGCAGCCCCCUGGGCUGACACUGACGCUCAGGCACGAAAGCGUGGGGAGCAAACAGG